GAACCUUCGGGGGACGAUAACGGCGUCGAGCGGCGGACGGGUGAGUAAUGCCUAGGAAAUUGCCCUGAUGUGGGGGAUAACCAUUGGAAACGAUGGCUAAUACCGCAUGAUGCCUACGGGCCAAAGAGGGGGACCUUCGGGCCUCUCGCGUCAGGAUAUGCCUAGGUGGGAUUAGCUAGUUGGUGAGGUAAGGGCUCACCAAGGCGACGAUCCCUAGCUGGUCUGAGAGGAUGAUCAGCCACACUGGAACUGAGACACGGUCCAGACUCCUACGGGAGGCAGCAGUGGGGAAUAUUGCACAAUGGGCGCAAGCCUGAUGCAGCCAUGCCGCGUGUGUGAAGAAGGCCUUCGGGUUGUAAAGCACUUUCAGUCGUGAGGAAGGUAGUGUAGUUAAUAGCUGCAUUAUUUGACGUUAGCGACAGAAGAAGCACCGGCUAACUCCGUGCCAGCAGCCGCGGUAAUACGGAGGGUGCGAGCGUUAAUCGGAAUUACUGGGCGUAA
rnacentral:rRNA from 1 species